CUAACGUUUAGGUUUGUACCUACCUUUUUCCACACCCUCUCCAUCAUUUAUUAUUUGUUGACUUUCUAAUGAUGGCCAUUCUGACCAGUAUGAGGUGGCACCUCAUUGUGGUUUUGUUUUGCAUUUCUCUAAUAGCGAUAUUGAGCAUCUUUUCAUGUGCUUAUUGGCCAUCUGUUUGUCUUCUUUGGAGAAAAGUCUGUUCAGGUCUUCUGGAGCCCCGGCACAAGGUUACCAAAGGCAGAAAAGGAUCCUAUGGACCCCAUUUCACAGCUGGGGAUGCUGAGGCUGGGGGAGAAGAGUCAAGGACUUGCCUACUGAGGACAGCAUGGAGUCAGGAUGCGAACCUGAGACCCUGACCCUGAGACACCGUCCUGCCUCUGGGGGAGUCAGAACUCACCUGCCCUCCCCCGAGGGGAUAUGUCAGAAGAGAUUCAGAAUGGCCAGAGGCUCAGAUGGACAGGCAAUACUCAGGGACAAGACAGGGGGCCCACAAACCUUUGAGGCUGGAGAACGGAGAGGUCUCUAGGUCUCCAAGGGGAGGGAGCUGACCCGCUUGUGUGUGUGGGGGGGGUGUGUGUGGGGGGGUGGCAUCUAGGCAGAGAGUGGUGUGUGGCAGGGGAGCUGGGCACAGGAUACAUCCUAGAGUCAUCCCUAGGGCUGGCUGGCCCAAGGGCUCCCUGCCUCCCCGAGCACAGAGCCUGGUGAGGGGCAGCCUCCUCUGGACUAGGAAGCAGGGAGUCACCGGCAGCCAUCACUGGUGCUUCACUCGGCGAUGGCUGCUUUACAAGGCACACACCGUCACCCCCACACCACCACGUCUCCACGAUCCCACUUCAUUUAUUACCAAAAUAUCACAGAAUUCCAGUCAUAGUUAACAUACAGAGAUUAACACAAACCUGAUACCUGCGGGAAGGACUAUGUAUUCGGACAAUCGCGUUGUUUUGGAAUCGUAAGGCCCCACACCGUGAGCACUCCGUACUCCAAAAAUACACUCUGAGAGCUUUGGAAACUGAAUUAAAAUGUCU
ensembl:lncRNA